UACAGAGGUCUCAAGCGUUGUUCGGAUUCAUUGGGCGUAAAGGGUGCGUAGGCGGCGCGGUAAGUCGGGUGUGAAAUCCCUCGGCUCAACCGAGGAACUGCAUCCGAUACUGGCGGGCUUGAAUCCGGGAGAGGGAUGUGGAAUUCCAGGUGUAGCGGUGAAAUGCGUAGAUAUCUGGAGGAACACCGGUGGCGAAGGCGGCAUCCUGGACCGGUAUUGACGCUGAGGCGCGAAAGCUAGGGGAGCAAACGGG
rnacentral:rRNA from 1 species